UACGUAGGUGGCGAGCGUUGUCCGGAAUUACUGGGCGUAAAGGGUGCGUAGGCGGGUUUUUAAGUCAGAUGUGAAACCCCCGGGCUUAACCUGGGGAUUGCAUUUGAAACUGGGAGCCUAGAGUGCAGGAGAGGGAAGCGGAAUUCCUAGUGUAGCGGUGAAAUGCGUAGAUAUUAGGAAGAACACCAGUGGCGAAGGCGGCUUUCUGGACUGUAACUGACGCUGAGGCACGAAAGCGUGGGGAGCAAACAGGAUUAGAUACC
rnacentral:rRNA from 1 species